rnacentral:pre_miRNA from 14 species
UCGGCCCAGCCCCUCAUGGCAUCCCAGGGCUAAAGUGCUUGCAGUGCAGGUAGCUGGCGCUGGCGCUACUGCAGUGUGGGGGCUUGCAGCUCUGGGGAGCCCCUGGCAAUGGGGGCCAG